rnacentral:rRNA from 1 species
GACGAACGCUGGCGGCGCGCCUAACACAUGCAAGUCGAACGAGCGAGAGAGAGCUUGCUUUCUCGAGCGAGUGGCGAACGGGUGAGUAACGCGUGAGGAACCUGCCUCAAAGAGGGGGACAACAGUUGGAAACGACUGCUAAUACCGCAUAAGCCCACGACCCGGCAUCGGGUAGAGGGAAAAGGAGCAAUCCGCUUUGAGAUGGCCUCGCGUCCGAUUAGCUAGUUGGUGAGGUAAUGGCCCACCAAGGCGACGAUCGGUAGCCGGACUGAGAGGUUGAACGGCCACAUUGGGACUGAGACACGGCCCAGACUCCUACGGGAGGCAGCAGUGGGGAAUAUUGCACAAUGGGGGAAACCCUGAUGCAGCGACGCCGCGUGGAGGAAGAAGGUCUUCGGAUUGUAAACUCCUGUUGUUGAGGAAGAUAAUGACGGUACUCAACAAGGAA